CUACGUGCCAGCAGCCGCGGUAAUACGGAAGGUCCGGGCGUUAUCCGGAUUUAUUGGAUUUAAAGGGAGUGUAGGCGGUCCGUUAAGCGUGUUGUGAAAUUUAGGUGCUCAACAUUUAACUUGCAGCGCGAACUGUCAGACUUGAGUACACGCAGCGCAGGCGGAAUUCAUGGUGUASCGGUGAAAUGCUUAGAUAUCAUGAGGAACUCCGAUCGCGAAGGCAGCCUGCGGGAGUGUUACUGACGCUUAAGCUCGAAGGUGCGGGUAUCGAACAGGAUUAGAUACCCUGGUAGUCCGCACUGUAAACGAUGGAUGCCCGCCGUUGGCGCCCUGCGCCUGCGGCCAAGCGAAAGCAUUAAGCAUCCCACCUGGGGAGUACGCCGGCAACGGUGAAACUCAAAGGAAUUGACGGGGGCCCGCACAAGCGGAGGAACAUGUGGUUUAAUUCGAUGAUACGCGAGGAACCUUACCCGGGCUUGAA
rnacentral:rRNA from 1 species